GGACAAACACCACAACUCCAUAUCCAGAGAGCUUAAAGUCGUCUGUGAAUGAUUCACUGAAACAAACAUCCAGAUGCCAGAGAAGCUGUGGGUGGAUUUCAGCCCGGGUUUUGGUGCAACUCCCCUCCGUUUUGCUAUCGAGUCCAAUACAGCGGCUGAGCGGAUGGGCUGAAGUGAAGCUGGUCGUCUCUGCUCGGCGUGAGUGAUGAGCAGUAGAAUAGACAGGCUGUCACAGCACACCUGUAGGCCUGGCAGCCGAGUCCAUCAUUGGGCUGAGCCUUCACAGAGAUUAAAAACA
ensembl:lncRNA